AGGACGAACGCUGGCGGCGUGCUUAACACAUGCAAGUCACGGGGGCCCGCAAGGGCAACCGGCGAACGGGUGCGUAACACGUGAGCAACCUGCCUUUGUGCGGGGGAUAGCCGGGCUAACGCCUGGGUAAUACCGCAUACGGUUCUCGAGGGGAGUCCCUUGGGAAAGAAACCUCCGGGGCACAGAGAGGGGCUCGCGGCCUAUCAGCUAGUUGGUGAGGUAACGGCUCACCAAGGCGACGACGCGUAGCCGGACUGAGAGGUUGGCCGGCCUCAUUGGGACUGAGACACUGCCCAGACUCCUACGGGGGGCUGCAGUAACGAAUCUUCCGCAAUGCACGAAAGUGUGACGGAGCGACGCCGCGUGUGGGACGAAGCCCUUCGGGGUGUAAACCACUGUCAGGGGGUCACCAAGUUCUGAGGAGCCCCAGAGGAAGGCACGGCUAACUCUGUGCCACAGCCGC
rnacentral:rRNA from 1 species